GUAUGUGGUAGAAGGACGGCCCCCAUCCUCUGACACACUCGCACGCCUCCAGGAUGUGUCACUAUCCCUUCCACCUGCCUCUUCCCGUCACUCCCCGCCCGCUGCUCCGUCUACCUACACUUGCUCUGCCUCACUCCAUCCCACUUUUUUUUUUUUUUUUUUGUUUUUAUCUCCCUUUUCAUUAUUUUUCUCUCUCCUCUCGUCCUCCCCCUCCGCACGCCGUGUGUCACCGGCUGGAAGAAGAAAGCAAAAAUGUUGGGGCAGACGAGCGCAAUAAGAGAACGGGAGCAGCGUGGAGCGGUCGUGAGUUUUACGCCGAGAGAUGACUGCGACCUCCAUGAGGCCGACCCUUCUUUGAUGGACUAUCCUGGAAGAGGGAGGCCAGUGAGAGGGAGAGGAUGAAGAGGAAUUAGAGGAAGGCGACUUACCUCCCUCCAGUCCAGACUCAUUGUCCUGACACACACACACACACACACACACGCCGCUGUGUCUGUGUGAGGACAGGGGGGUGCAGACGGUCAUUUUGAACGCCACCAUCCUGCAGACCGCCAUGCUCGCUUCUGAGGUGUAGGUGGUCUUCAUCACGUUGUCGUUUGGACAUGCCCUUCACCUGCGCCUGCUUUUGCGGCCUGAACGGCUUCCUCAACAGACGGAAGGUGAAGAAAAAGGAGCGGCAAGUGGAAGAGGAGAGUGAGAAGGUAGCGCAAUGGAAAGAUCAGGAGACAGAUGUGUGACCUUCACUUUACUUAGAAUUAUUCUCCUGUGCCAGACUGCAAUAUAAUGCACACUUUAUAUUCUUUUUUUCACGUUAGGGAUGUAAACAAACUUAAGUGCUUUUUUUUUUUUUUGCUUCCUGACUUGUUGACUUCAAAUGGUAAAAAAGGUGCCGGAUUCAAUAUUUCUCUGUGUCUUAAACUGCCUGGAUGGAGAAACCACACCGCUGUCGUGAGCCUCAUUGCACAAGACAAAUCAUAUAAGUGGAAAAAAACAACAAAAAAACACCGUUGCCCGUCCUUACGGAAUUUUACUUUAAGGUAGGGUUGUCCCGAAACCAAUAUUUUGGUACCGGUACCAGUACCAACAUGUAUUUUGAUACUUUUCGAUACUUUUCUACAUAAAGGGGUCCUCAAAAAUGGCAUGUAUUUGAACAAAAACAGUACGCUAAACAUAUGUUUCUUAUUGCAAUUUUGUCCUUAAAUAAAAUAGUGAACAUACGAGAAAACGUGUCUUUUAUUAGUAAGUAAGCAAACAAAGGCUACUAAUUUAGCUGCUGACAUAUGCAGUAACAUAUUGUGUCAUUUACCUACCUAUUAUUUGGUCAACAUUAUGAAGGACAAGCUGUAAAAAUUGAUUAUUAAUCCACUUGUUCAUUUACAGUUAAUAUCUGCUUACUUUCCGUUUCAACAUGUUCUAUCUACACUUCUGUAAAAAUGUAAUAAUCACUUAUUCUUCUGUUGUUUGGAUACUUUAUAUUAGUUUUGGAUGAUACCACAAAUUUUGGGUAUCGAUCCGAUACCAAGCAGUUGCCGUAUUUUCCGCACCAUAAGGCGCCCUGGGUUAUAAGCCGCGCCUUCAAUGAACGGCAUAUUUCAAAACUUUGUCCACCUAUAAGCCGCCCCGUGUUGUAAGCCGCAUCUAACUGCGCUAAAGGAAUGUCAAAAAAACAGUCAAAUAGGUCAGUCAAACUUUAAUAAUAUAUUAAAA